rnacentral:rRNA from 1 species
GACGAACGCUGGCGGCGUGCUUAACACAUGCAAGUCGAGCGGUAAGGCUCCUUCGGGAGUACACGAGCGGCGAACGGGUGAGUAACACGUGAGCAAUCUGCCCAUCACUUCGGGAUAACUCCGGGAAACCGGUGCUAAUACCGAAUACGACCACUUCAGGCAUCUGACGGUGGUGGAAAGUUCCGGCGGUGAGGGAUGAGCUCGCGGCCUAUCAGCUUGUUGGUGGGGUAAUGGCCUACCAAGGCUUCGACGGGUAGCCGGCCUGAGAGGGUGACCGGCCACACUGGGACUGAGACACGGCCCAGACUCCUACGGGAGGCAGCAGUGGGGAAUAUUGGACAAUGGGCGAAAGCCUGAUCCAGCAACGCCGCGUGAGGGAUGACGGCCUUCGGGUUGUAAACCUCUUUCAGCGCCGACGAAGCGAAAGUGACGGUAGGCGCAGAAGAAGCACCGGCCAACUACGUGCCAGCAGCCGCAGUAACAC